rnacentral:rRNA from 1 species
UACGAAGGGGGCUAGCGUUGCUCGGAAUCACUGGGCGUAAAGCGCACGUAGGCGGACUCUUAAGUCGGUGGUGAAAUCCUGGAGCUCAACUCCAGGACUGCCUUCGAUACUGAGAGUCUCGAGUCCGGGAGAGGUGAGUGGAACUGCGAGUGUAGAGGUGAAAUUCGUAGAUAUUCGCAAGAACACCAGUGGCGAAGGCGGCUCACUGGCCCGGUACUGACGCUGAGGUGCGAAAGCGUGGGGAGCAAACAGG